rnacentral:rRNA from 1 species
GAUGAACGCUAGCGGCAGGCUUAAUACAUGCAAGGCGAAGGGGCAGCAAUGUCACUGUCGUACGGGUGCGUAACGCGUAUGCAACCUACCUAUCACUGGGGGAUAGCCGGGGGAAACCCGGAUUAAUACCGCAUAACACAGGGGCUCCUCAUGGAGAUAUUUGUUAAAGAUUUAUCGGUGGUAGAUGGGCAUGCGUUCGA